AUUAUGUUAGCGCCUGAGCCUGAAAUGGCUGACGAGGAUUGAAGUUAUCGAAAUUUUCGGCGGAUACUUCAAAGGUUUCACAACCUUAGCAUUUCUACAAAAGAUAUGAGUAAUCAUAUAACAAAGAGAAAUG
rnacentral:ncRNA from 1 species